CCGAAGCGCGGAGAAGAGCCCCCCCCCCCCUGUGAAAAUGGACAGCCCGCAGCAACUAACCAUCCCCACCGGACGGUCACUGCAGCAUAGAUGGCCCGGACCAGCUCACUCUAACUUCCCGCCGAGGGGAGGUCCCUGACAAGACUGAUUCAUGAGUCAGCAAAGUUCAUGGAAUAGCUGUAUUCUGUCAGAACUUGCAAUGGAACGAAGAUUUGCUAAGCCUAAAGGGUUGUAAACUUCAAGUGAGCAUAACCCAUACUAGAAGAGAUCAAUUUACGUAUCUCAACUAAAUACCAGAUGAAAGGGCAGCAGAUUGGAGACCUGGAGAUCAAUUGUCCAAAAUUUGUCAUGGACAAUAUAGUGAAAUGUGGUAACUCAUGGCAAGUUGGGCAUAAGUUACUAAUUAAUAAAGGAAGUUACCAAAUUGGUUUUAUAUUAAAUGUACUGUUAUCUGUUAUACUUCAAAUGUUUGUAAAUAUAUUGAAAUGGAAGACAACAAGACAAAUAAUUUGUGAAAUCCGGUCAACUAGAAAUGCCAGGUGCACAUUUGUAACUUACACUGAAUUGAACAAAUGUGUUGAAAAAAAGAAGGAAAAAAGGAUUUAUAAAAGAAAAGUAUUCCUACAAAAAAUGAUUGUAAAAGUGCACUUAGCCUUUAGAGAACAUUUAAUGUAAUGUGAGUUAUGGAAUUUAUUGGCAAUAUGAAAAAGUAAAAAAAAACUCUGGCCAUAAAUCAAUAAAGAUU